AUGUGGUUUAAUUCGAUGCAACGCGAAGAACCUUACCUGGGCUUGACAUCCCGAGAAUCCCCUGGGAAACAGGGGAGUGCCUUUCGGGGAACUCGGAGACAGGGUGCUGCAUGGCUGUCGUCAGCUCGUGUCGUGAGAUGUUGGGUUAAGUCCCGCAACGAGCGCAACCCUUGUCUUUAAUUGCCAGCAUUCAGUUGGGCACUUUAAAGAGACUGCCGGUGUUAAGCCGGAGGAAGGUGGGGAUGACGUCAAGUCCUCAUGGCCCUUAUAGGUGGGGCUACACACGUCAUACAAUGGCCGGUACAGAGGGUAGCCAACCCGCGAGGGGGAGCCAAUCCCACAAAGCCGGUCGUAGUCCGGAUCGCAGUCUGCAACUCGACUGCGUGAAGUCGGAAUCGCUAGUAAUCGUGGAUCAGCAUGUCACGGUGAAUACGUUCCCGGGUCUU
rnacentral:rRNA from 1 species